GUCUAUUUUCCUCUCCUCCCGGUACCCUUCUUCCGGUUUCCAUCCCGGUUGCCACCGACGCCGAUAGACGCCGGAAGAAGGGUAUCGGGAUGAGAGGAAAAUAGACU